AUCAACUUUCGAUGGUAGGAUAGAGGCCUACCAUGGUGGUAACGGGUAACGGGGUGUUAGGGCACGACACCGGAGAGGGAGCCUGAGAAACGGCUACCACAUCCAAGGAUGGCAGCAGGCGCGCAAAUUACCCAAUCCCGACACGGGGAGGUAGUGACAAUAGAUAACAAUACGGGGCUCUUUCGGGUCUCGUAAUUGGAAUGAGUACAAUUUAAAUCCCUUAACGAGGAACAAUUGGGGGGCAAGUCUGGUGCCAGCAGCCGCGGUAAUUCCAGCUCCAAUAGCGUAUAUUAAAGUUGUUGCAGUUAAAAAGCUCGUAGUUGAAUUUCGGGAUUGACACAUCGGUCGUGCCUUAAGGGGUAUGAACUGGUGUAGUCAAUUUCUCACCUUCUGGAGAACCACGAUGCCCUUAAUUGGGUGUCGCGGGGAACCAGGACCUUUACUUUGAAAAAAUUAGAGUGUUUAAAGCAGGCAUUUUGCUUGAAUACAUUAGCAUGGAAUAAUAAAAUAGGACGGCAUGAUUCUAUUUUGUUGGUUUCUAGGAUCACCGUAAUGAUUAAUAGGGAUAGUUGGGGGCAUUAGUAUUCAAUUGUCAGAGGUGAAAUUCUUGGAUUUAUUGAAGACUAACUACUGCGAAAGCAUUUGCCAAGGAUGUUUUCAUUAAUCAAGAACGAAAGUUAGGGGAUCGAAGACGAUCAGAUACCGUCGUAGUCUUAACCAUAAACUAUGCCGACUAGGAAUCAGACGAUGUUAAUUUUUUAAUGACUCGUUUGGCACCUUACGGGAAACCAAAGUGUUUGGGUUC
rnacentral:rRNA from 1 species